UUCGGAUUGGAGGCUGAAACCCGCCUCCAUGAAGUUGGAUUCGCUAGUAAUCGCGCAUCAGCCAUGGCGCGGUGAAUACGUUCCCGGGUCUUGUACACACCGCCCGUCACACCAUGGGAGCUGGUAACACCCGAAGUCAGUAGUCUAACCGCAAGGAGGACGCUGCCGAAGGUGGGAUUAGCGACUGGGGUGAAGUCGUAACAAGGUAAC
rnacentral:rRNA from 1 species